UGAAUUAACUCUUGCUUGCACACGGAC
rnacentral:piRNA from 1 species